rnacentral:rRNA from 1 species
UGCAAGUCGAGCGGUAGAGAGAAGCUUGCUUCUCUUGAGAGCGGCGGACGGGUGAGUAAUGCCUAGGAAUCUGCCUGGUAGUGGGGGAUAACGUUCGGAAUCGGACGCUAAUACCGCAUACGUCCUACGGGAGAAAGCAGGGGACCUUCGGGCCUUGCGCUAUCAGAUGAGCCUAGGUCGGAUUAGCUAGUUGGUGAGGUAAUGGCUCACCAAGGCGACGAUCCGUAACUGGUCUGAGAGGAUGAUCAGUCACACUGGAACUGAGACACGGUCCAGACUCCUACGGGAGGCAGCAGUGGGGAAUAUUGGACAAUGGGCGAAAGCCUGAUCCAGCCAUGCCGCGUGUGUGAAGAAGGUCUUCGGAUUGUAAAGCACUUUAAGUUGGGAGGAAGGGCAGUUGCCUAAUACGUAACUGUUUUGACGUUACCGACAGAAUAAGCACCGGCUAACUCUGUGCCAGCAGCCGCGGUAAUACAGAGGGUGCAAGCGUUAAUCGGAAUUACUGGGCGUAAAGCGCGCGUAGGUGGUUUGUUAAGUUGGAUGUGAAAUCCCCGGGCUCAACCUGGGAACUGCAUUCAAAACUGACUGACUAGAGUAUGGUAGAGGGUGGUGGAAUUUCCUGUGUAGCGGUGAAAUGCGUAGAUAUAGGAAGGAACACCAGUGGCGAAGGCGACCACCUGGACUAAUACUGACACUGAGGUGCGAAAGCGU